rnacentral:lncRNA from 14 species
CAUCUGUGUCAGUAAAAAAUUCUAAGGGUUAACAUAACAUGAUGUAAACUGUUUCAUCUGUUCUUCCUACUUGCCCAUUUUAAUCAGAAAUGAGUAAGUAGAGCUUAUAUGCACUGAACUUGAAGAAUGCUAAUGGGAUGUCUGCAUCAUGUUGUACCCAGAGUACUUAUGCCAGAAUAGGAGAGCCUUUAAUUCUGUAAUUCUCUGGGACAAGAAAAGCUUUCUGAAGAAUUACUUUAAAUUUAAACUCUCAUUCUAACGUUAGGCAGCCUGUUGGAUCUCUGAGUUAAAAAUUGCUUCAGCUUUAGUUACUAGAGCCAGAUGCAACAUUGACCUUAAAUGGUAAAAGCUCCCAAGAGUGAAAGAGAGGCUGGCCCGAGGGGAAAGAGAGGAAUAACUGAAGUUUUAGGUAAGUAAUCUCUAUAACCAGGAAUAAGCUCUUUUUCAGCCUGAAACAGAACGGAACCAUUUUUCCUCCUUAAAGGUACAGUACCUUGUUCUUGUGAUACUGAGGAGCUGGUUCUUUACUUCUUCUCCCCCACCCCUUCAAAUUCUACCUCUUUGUCAGAUUUUAGCUGCUUAAAAACUGGGUGUAGUCAAUGCAACCUCGUUCUGCUUGCUGUUUGGGACUAUACAAGAAUGAAAAAGAAAAAGCUGUGUUAAUUAUACUGAGACUUGAAUAAUAAAGGUAUGUGGUGAGUAAUUCAAGGUAACCGGAUUCCCAGAUACUGUCAUCUGUAUUGUACUAACCAAGAGGGAGUCUAAGGAGCAAUCCAUAUCAUAGAGAAACAGAUAAGUCACAGAUUGCUCUUUUUCUUAUUAAUUAUGAUUUUCCUUCCCUCAUGCUUUUAACAGUGCUGGAGUGGUUCAUGUUGGUGGAUUAUCUACUCGUCUGGAACUUAUCUUUUAAAAAGGAAGCUCCUGCUUACAGCAUUCCAGCUAUCAGCCUGCUGAAUAUUCAUUAUCCUUCCUUCACCUGUGCUGCAAGGCAUUAUGUUGAGCAUGAGAAUUCCAGACCUUAAAUUCCUCUAAUAGGUGCACAAGGCUCGUGCAUACUGAAAUUGUAGAUCUUCACCCAUAUCCAUUCUGCCUGUGACAUGUGAGUUAAUCUCUACAAGUAUUUAAUUUUAAAAGAUAAUUUUGAAGCUUUUGUCAUUUCUGAAAUAAUUGAGUUUUGGGGGAGAUCAUUUACUUU